rnacentral:rRNA from 1 species
AAAUUGAAGAGUUUGAUCAUGGCUCAGAUUGAACGCUGGCGGCAGGCCUAACACAUGCAAGUCGAACGGUAACAGAAAGCAGCUUGCUGCUUUGCUGACGAGUGGCGGACGGGUGAGUAAUGUCUGGGAAACUGCCUGAUGGAGGGGGAUAACUACUGGAAACGGUAGCUAAUACCGCAUAACGUCGCAAGACCAAAGAGGGGGACCUUCGGGCCUCUUGCCAUCGGAUGUGCCCAGAUGGGAUUAGCUAGUAGGUGGGGUAACGGCUCACCUAGGCGACGAUCCCUAGCUGGUCUGAGAGGAUGACCAGCCACACUGGAACUGA